AACGAACGCUGGCGGCAGGCUUAACACAUGCAAGUCGAACGAGAUCUUCGGAUCUAGUGGCAGACGGGUGAGGAACACGAGGGAACAUCCCUUUCAGUUCGGAAUAACGUUGGGAAACUAACGCUAAUACCGGAUACGUCCUUCGGGAGAAAGAUUUAUCGCUGAAAGAUUGGCCCGCGUCUGAUUAGCUAGUUGGUGAGGUAAUGGCUCACCAAGGCUACGAUCAGUAGCUGAUCUGAGAGGAUGAUCAGCCACAUUGGGACUGAGACACGGCCCAAACUCCUACGGGAGGUAGCAGUGGGGAAUAUUGGACAAUUGGCGCAAGCCUGAUCCAGCCAUGCCCCGUGAGUGAUGAAGGCCUUCGGGUUGUAAAGCUCUUUUAUCCGGGAAGAUAAUGACUGUACCGGAAGAAUAAGCCCCGUCAAACUUCGUGCCAGCCGCCGCAGUAA
rnacentral:rRNA from 1 species